rnacentral:rRNA from 1 species
GGAUUAGAUACCCUGGUAGUCCACACCGUAAACGAUGAAUGCCAGUCGUCGGGUAGCAUGCUAUUCGGUGACACACCUAACGGAUUAAGCAUUCCGCCUGGGGAGUACGGUCGCAAGAUUAAAACUCAAAUGAAUUGACGGGGGCCCGCACAAGCGGUGGAGCAUGUGGUUUAAUUCGAAGCAACGCGAAGAACCUUACCCAGGCUUGACAUGUAUCGGACCGGUUAUGAAAGUAACCUUUUCUUCGGAACUGAUACACAGGUGUUGCAUGGCUGUCGUCAGCUCGUGCCG